UACGUAGGGUGCAAGCGUUGUCCGGAAUUAUUGGGCGUAAAGAGCUCGUAGGCGGUCUGUCGCGUCUGCUGUGAAAACUCAGGGCUUAACCCUGAGCUUGCAGUGGGUACGGGCAGACUAGAGUGCGGUAGGGGAGACUGGAAUUCCUGGUGUAGCGGUGAAAUGCGCAGAUAUCAGGAGGAACACCGGUGGCGAAGGCGGGUCUCUGGGCCGAUACUGACACUGAGGAGCGAAAGCGUGGGGAGCGAACAGG
rnacentral:rRNA from 1 species